UUUUAAUCGAGAUUACACGGUUCCUCAAAGGCUUCCUAGACCUAGAGUCUAAUCCGUGCCGAGAGAUCAUGUCAGAACGCUUCCUCCCCUCUGGCCACCAAGAAUAUAUUGGGAUUUAACUCCAAUAAGCGUCGGCGGGAUUCAAACCCGGGUGUGGGAGUUUCACACCUGGAGGCUCUUACCAACUCGACCACCUGUGGUGGUUGCUCAAGCAGUUAAAAUACCUGAACAUAUAUGACCUAGACAUUGAUUUAGGGCCCCUCUUUCUCUGUCUUUCUAUAUCUGACCUUAAUAAAUUACCCUAAUCUUCCUCUCUCCUUUAUGCUUCUGUCCAGUCCCAAAACUGACAGAUAUGAUUUGUCUGUCUCAUUUAAUUCACCAGAAAAAUUCAUCAUCAUCUUUCCCAUUUGCAAUUGCAGACCACAUAUGUGUUCAAUCUCAGCCUCUGCUGCAACAUAGAGAUUUCUAAUGGCUUCCACAACAACAAAACCAGUUAAACAACUUGGAGAGCUUCUCCAAGAGCAGCAAGAACCCUUUGUCCUAGAUGUUUACCUAUUUGAAAGAGGGUGUCUGAGAAAGAGCUUGAGUUCAAGCAAUAGCAUUAAUUCAAGCAAGAGUUUAAAGAGGUCAUCUAGUUGUGGACCAAUCAAGAGCAAAAAGGGUACUCCUAGCUUCUCCAAGAUACUGAGAUCUGUCUAUAACAAGCUUGUUUCCAAAAAUGGUGGCUCGAGAACUAAGAGUUCCGGAGAAGAAGAGGGAAAGUUUGAUGCCAACACUGAGAUUACUCUUCCUAGUGAUUGCCUUGGAGAUUUGGAUGAAUUUUCUUCUUCUAGUAGCAGAACACGGUAUGAAUCAUGCUGUGAUAGUGACAAAGAUGAAGCUUGCGCCACUGUUUUGUUGCAGAAUGAAGAUGAAGCCUCGCUUGCAGUAGAAGGCACUUCUCAAGUUCCAAAUCUCUGCAAUAUGAAAGAAGAGACAAAGCCAGCAGGUUGCUUCAGAUAGCACUGCUCAAUGGGGAAUCAUCGAAGAAGAAGAAGAAGAAGACGCAGACUAAGCAACACACCUCAAUUUCAGUACUAGAAGAUAGACCUUCUCAUGCAGUACCCAACUCCGUGUUAUCAGCUUCUCUUUGGGAACUACUUUUCCAGCCACCAUUGGAGAGGCCAAGAGAUACUUUUGGAGUUCCGGAAAUGCUAGAGCCGGUAAUCAGAUCGAAUUCUUCUCCACACAAAUCGAAAAGGAUGUUGCAGCAGACAAGGCAGCUUCUUUUCGAUUGUGUGAGAGAGGUGACAGAAUCCCAUGCAAAGCAAAUGAAAGAGGAGCAGAACAGCGCAAAGUUUUUGGGGGCAGAAGAACUGGGAAAGCUGAUUUCUGAGAAAUUAAGGAUUUGGGAUAGACAGGCUGGGGAUGAAACCAACAUCGACUUUUUGUUGGAUUCAGAUAUCCUGAGUUCAGCUGAAGAAUGGAAUUGUAAUGAACAAGAAGAGAGAGAGAUUUGUUGCGAAAUUGGGGACGCCAUUUUAGAAGAGAUCAUCAAAGAAACUGUUGCUCUACCGAUUAGUUUAGAUCCUGUUUCCUUCUGAUCUCGCUUUAAUUUCCAAUUUCAAUAAUUUACACCCGCCAAAAUUGGCAAAUUUUUUCAGCACAAAUUGGGGAACAAAUUUAUUGGCUUAUA